GGGAACUUCUGCCUAGUAAUGAAGUUGUGCUUUAUAGCCCUUCUGAGCCAUGAAAUUAGCUUUAGCAUGCAUAUUUUUGCUAGCCCCAGGAAGAACAGAGCCCGUAUUUUAGAUUGAGAACACUGGGCUCUUUCUUCCACAUCUGUUUUUUCUACUGUCAGAUGUCAGCUCUUGCAGCUGAAGUCACCUGGUUAAUCAUUCCUGCCUAGUCAAAUGCUCCUAGGCCUGCUUGACUUAGGAUGCAGGACAUAUAGAAGAGAAAUCGACUGAAAUAACUGUGGUGCAUAUUAGAGAAGUGAUCAAGCUCUGUUGGUGAGCCUGGCACGGCAUCCUCGCUGAGACCCUUCGUUGCUUGGUUAAGUCAGCCACAACCACAGGAGGCUCAUGGGAGGACCUGAACAUCCAUGGGUACAGGAAUCAGCCAAGGGAUUAAAAGAGUGGAUCUUAAUACCUUUCCCCAUGGAGGAUAGGUAUAAAAUUGUGUCUCAAAUAUAAAAUUAUGCCCACAUUUCUUGUCACAGACUUAGAUCCAGAUCAAGCAGAUGCUUGAGUUUGACUGUAGUUUCAUACAAAUGAAUAAACAAUAUUAAAGCCUACA
rnacentral:lncRNA from 1 species